rnacentral:rRNA from 1 species
UUACAAGUGACCCCGGUCUAACCACCGGGAUGUUCAUAACCCUUUGUUGUCCGACUCUGUUGCCUCCGGGGCGACCCUGCCUUCGGGCGGGGGCUCCGGGUGGACACUUCAAACUCUUGCGUAACUUUGCAGUCUGAGUAAACUUAAUUAAUAAAUUAAAACUUUUAACAACGGAUCUCUUGGUUCUGGCAUCGAUGAAGAACGCAGCGAAAUGCGAUAAGUAAUGUGAAUUGCAGAAUUCAGUGAAUCAUCGAAUCUUUGAACGCACAUUGCGCCCCCUGGUAUUCCGGGGGGCAUGCCUGUUCGAGCGUCAUUUCACCACUCAAGCCUCGCUUGGUAUUGGGCAACGCGGUCCGCCGCGUGCCUCAAAUCGACCGGCUGGGUCUUCUGUCCCCUAAGCGUUGUGGAAACUAUUCGCUAAAGGGUGUUCGGGAGGCUACGCCGUAAAACAACCCCAUUUCUAAGGUUGACCUCGGAUCAGGUAGGGAUACCCGCU